rnacentral:rRNA from 1 species
UACAGAGGUCUCAAGCGUUGUUCGGAUUCAUUGGGCGUAAAGGGUGCGUAGGUGGCGCGGUAAGUCGGGUGUGAAAUUUCGGAGCUUAACUCCGAAACUGCAUUCGAUACUGCCGUGCUUGAGGACUGGAGAGGAGACUGGAAUUUACGGUGUAGCAGUGAAAUGCGUAGAUAUCGUAAGGAAGACCAAUGGGGAAGGCGGGUCUCCGGACAGUUCCUGACGCUGAGGCACGGAGGCCAGGGGAGCAAACGGG